rnacentral:rRNA from 1 species
AGUGGCGCACGGGUGCGUAACGCGUGGGAAUCUGCCCUUGGGUUCGGAAUAACGUCGGGAAACUGACGCUAAUACCGGAUGAUGACGUAAGUCCAAAGAUUUAUCGCCCAGGGAUGAGCCCGCGUAGGAUUAGCUAGUUGGUGGGGUAAAGGCCUACCAAGGCGACGAUCCUUAGCUGGUCUGAGAGGAUGAUCAGCCACACUGGGACUGAGACACGGCCCAGACUCCUACGGGAGGCAGCAGUAGGGAAUAUUGGACAAUGGGCGCAAGCCUGAUCCAGCAAUGCCGCGUGAGUGAUGAAGGCCUUAGGGUUGUAAAGCUCUUUUACCAGAGAUGAUAAUGACAGUAUCUGGGGAAUAAGCCCCGGCUAACUCCGUGCCAGCAGCCGCGGUAAUACGGAGGGGGCUAGCGUUGUUCGGAAUUACUGGGCGUAAAGCGCACGUAGGCGGCGAUUUAAGUCAGAGGUGAAAGCCCGGGGCUCAACCCCGGAACUGCCUUUGAGACUGGAUUGCUUGAAUCCGGGAGAGGUGAGUGGAAUUCCGAGUGUAGAGGUGAAAUUCGUAGAUAUUCGGAAGAACACCAGUGGCGAAGGCGGCUAACUGGACUGGUACUGACGCUGAGGUGCGAAAGUGUGGGGAGCAAACAGGAUUAGAUACCCUGGUAGUCCACACCGUAAACGAUGAUAACUAGCUGUCCGGG